UACGUAGGGCGCAAGCGUUGUCCGGAAUUAUUGGGCGUAAAGAGCUCGUAGGCGGUUUGUCGCGUCUGCUGUGAAAACCUAAGGCUCAACCUUGGGCUUGCAGUGGGUACGGGCAGACUAGAGUGCGGUAGGGGUGACUGGAAUUCCUGGUGUAGCGGUGAAAUGCGCAGAUAUCAGGAGGAACACCAGCGGCGGAAGGCGGUGCUCUGGGCCGGAACUGACACUGAGGAGCGAAAGCGUGGGUAGCAAACAGG
rnacentral:rRNA from 1 species